UACGUAGGGGGCAAGCGUUGUCCGGAAUCAUUGGGCGUAAAGAGCGUGUAGGCGGCCAGAAAAGUCCGCUGUGAAAACUCGAGGCUCAACCUCGAGACGUCGGCGGAAACCAUCUGGCUAGAGUCCGGAAGAGGAGAAUGGAAUUCCCGGUGUAGCGGUGAAAUGCGCAGAUAUCGGGAGGAACACCGGUGGCGAAGGCGGUUCUCUGGGCCUUACCUGACGCUGAGGAGCGAAAGCGUGGGGAGCGAACAGG
rnacentral:rRNA from 1 species